ACAAACGCCUUCGGAAUUGCCGCUGUUGCGCUGCAUGUGCAUGUAACCAUCCAUUCCCCAACUUUUACCCCAUGAGUUCUUCACAAUCCAAUAAUCAACUCCAUUUUCUGAUCCAUAUCCUACAAUCAACACAGCAUGAUCCAAAGAAGUUGAACAUGGACCGGAGAAAAUUCCCUACCAAGCAAGUAAAUACAACUCAUGAUUUUCAGUUAUAGUUUCAUAUAUGAUGGAAUCUCAUCAAAUAGCAGUUUCGAGUAGGACCAACCUUUGAGUAUAAUUGAAAGGCUCUCUCACUGCCACAUAUGCCAACACUCACAGGUUGAGCUGCUACUGCUUGCAGUAAUUUUCCUUCAUCAUUUGAAGGAAUAUC
rnacentral:lncRNA from 1 species